GCUGCAUAGUAGUGGCUGAGGUGACCAAAGCCACAGUAAUGUCUGUAGUUCGUUCAUCCGUCCAUGCCAAAUGGAUUGUGGGGAAGGUAAUUGGGACAAAAAUGCAAAAGACUGCCAAAGUCAGAGUGACCAGGCUUGUUCUGGAUCCCUAUUUAUUAAAGUAUUUUAAUAAGCGGAAAACCUACUUUGCUCAUGAUGCCCUUCAGCAGUGCACUGUUGGGGAUAUUGUGCUUCUCAGAGCUUUACCUGUUCCACGAGCAAAGCAUGUGAAACAUGAACUGGCCGAGAUCGUUUUCAAAGUUGGAAAAGUCAUAGAUCCAGUGACAGGAAAGCCCUGUGCAGGAACUACCUACCUGGAGAGUCCUUUGAGUUCGGAAACCACCCAGCUAAGCAAAAAUCUGGAAGAACUCAAUAUCUCUUCACAGUGA